CCUACGGGUGGCAGCAGUGAGGAAUAUUGGUCAAUGGACGCAAGUCUGAACCAGCCAUGCCGCGUGCAGGAAGACGGCCCUAUGAGUUGUAAACUGCUUUUGUACGAGGGUAAACGCAGACACGCGUAUCUGUCUGAAAGUACCUUACGAAUAAGGAUCGGCUAACUCCGUGCCAGCAGCCGCGGUAAUACGGAGGAUUCAAGCGUUAUCCGGAUUUAUUGGGUUUAAAGGGUGCGUAGGCGGUCGGAUAAGUUAGAUGUGAAAUCCCGAGGCUCAACUUUGGAAUUGCCACUGAUACUGUUAGGCUAGAGAGUAGUUGCGGUAGGCGGAAUGUAUGGUGUAGCGGUGAAAUGCUUAGAGAUCACACAGAACACCGAUUGCGAAGGCAGCUUACCAAGCUACUUCUGACGUUGAGGCACGAAAGCGUGGGGAGCAAACAGGAUUAGAUACCCGAGUAGUC
rnacentral:rRNA from 1 species